UUAAUAUUAUCAUGUUCUAGAUUUAAAACAUUAUUUAAUAUUAAAAUAGCUAAAAUGCAGAAUAAAUUUUUUUUUCUUUUCUUUCCAUUCAUUCCCUGAAUCGCAACCUUUACAAUUCUUCUUCAUACUAGAAUCAUAUUUAUUAUAUAACUUAUUUAGCCUGAGUAGAUAGGAAUAUAUAUUUAUACAAUUCAUUCUUUCAAGCAUAUCCCCUCUUUAGAACAAACAAUCUUCAUCUAUUGAAUAAUUUAAAAUUUUACACAUCUGUGAUUUACAACCAUCAAAUGAUUCAACACAAUCUCAAUUAAAUCACUAGUCUUCUUUUCAUGCGCUCCUAAUCACGAUAGAUCGCAUCAUAGCUUUAACCUGCAAAUUAAGCAAGAUUGAGCACGACGGCCCAACAAGUCUAACAGUCUAUCAUGCAUCACAUAACACAUAGGUUUCACAUUCAGUUCAUGCAUUUAUAUUCUUGGUGUUCAAGCAUAUUACAAAUGCAUUAUCACAUUUAUGUCAUGCUGGUAGCAACAUACAUAUCAUAUCAUACUACACAUGUCAUGUACAUGUCAUUCAUUGCACAUAUAUAUUGAGUUCCCCGACUCAAUUCAAUAAUUAGUCAUAAUUUGACAUUCAUCAUUCACAAAGCAAAUAAUGCAGUUCAUAGGUAUUACAUACUUAUAAACAUAAAUCAUGCUAACAGUUAUCUAUAGCAAUUAUAAGUCCACAUAAAUAAACUGAGAAACUUGCCUUGUUCGUAGACUAUUGGCACAAUUUCAGCUUAACUUGUGUAUUCUCACAGAUCCUAUACAAUUAUGUGCAUUUACAAGCAUAUUAGCCAAAUAACCAAGUCAUAUAGCUUGUAUGUUCACAUAUCACAUAAUCAUGAUGUUUUUAGUUCAUGUUCUAUAUUUAAGAUAUACUUUUCAAAUAUAUCAUCCAUGUUCUUACAAUAACCUUUUCUUUCCCUCAUAGGGUUUGACAUAAUUUUUGUUCAGGAACUUUUCAUGAUAUUAGUUCACACUCCUUUUACUUCUUUUGUUUGCCAUAAGUAUACAUUGCAAUCUGCUUUAUAUCUUAGGUAUUCAAGGUGAAUACGUAAGUUAUUUCAUGUAUUAAAUAUGAUUGUAUAUCAUAAGGGUAGAACUUUUAGUUUCCAAUCUGCUUUGCAAAUUAUAUUGUCAAACUAUUCGUUUUAUUGCGUUUGUUAGUUAUGUCAAAACAGCCCUCUUCGGCCAAAUAUAUCUUGCAGCCUUUAUUGUUGCUUCAACAAUUCUUUCGCAUAAUUUAAUUGGGCUUAUUAUCAUUUCACUAUGCUUGGCUUAUUAUCAUUUCACUAUGCUGAGGCUAAAUUUUUCUUGUUAUCCUUUUGUUUCCUCUAUUUAACUAAGUGAGUCUAGUAGCUCACUUAAAUGCACUAACGGUUUCUUAGCAUUUCUUUAUGCUAUUAGUCACUUAUAUUUGAUUAUGGGAUUAUAUUAAUUUUAGUGUGGCUUUACACUGCAUUAGCAGUUAACUAACCACUGCUGCUGCAAAUGUGCAGCAGCGUUGCCUCUCCUUUGCUCACUAAUUAGCUCCAAUUGCAUUUUUAAUUUAAAUUAAGCUGCCCCAAAACUGCCAUAGCUUUUAGCAUGUUAUAUUCACUUUAUAUCCUUACUUGUAUCCUUACCAAAUCCCAGUAACUUCAAUUCAAUUUAUUGCAUUCGUGUUCAAAACACCCCCAAAGGACUAAAACAAAAUAGGCCAGCCGCAGCAGCCAAACCAUAUUGCUCUCUGGCCUCCUUUUCCAUUUUCAAGUUUGCAAAUCACAAGUCAAAUGGAAACCAAAAUUUAGCAUGUUAUAAAGGGUAUAUCAUAGUAUUUUUAAAAAUAUAACUAUUUUAAUUUGGGCAUCCUAGACAGGUUUAACAGAGGGCUAAAACUGCCAUAUCGAAACAGUUUUCAAUUUGUUUUCCAACUGUACCCUCUCUUGCUCAAACAGUCCUAACUUUCUCGUUUCAAAACAUUUUUGAGCGAUUCUCGAGCCCACGCGAAGCUAACUUCCGAGGCUACAACUUUCAUUCUUUGACCAUUUCCAAUUUCAAACCACAGAAUUCCAGAAAAUUCGUGCAAGAGGCUGCUCCGAAUUUGUUAGACAGAUUUAACACAACUGCUUUGAACGGGAGAAACUCGUUGCUCCGAAGUCGGAAUUAGUCCGUUCCGGAGUCUAUGGAAAGCUUAUUCAGUGUACUAUAACAUACCAAAAGCCCAGAAUUUUCUGAACAUCCUAGCUAACCCCGAAUUUUAAUUUUAGGGUCAGCAGUUCACAAUUUUUCGGUUUCUAACAUGUUUAUUUCACGACCUUAUUACUUCUAGCUCAUAUACCAAAUUAGAACAAAAUUUAAAUAUGUUUUACAUAGUAUAUGAGUCUGCAUUUAAAAGUUAUAUCCUUUCCAUUUCAGCUUCAAUAGGCUGCUCAAAACAACACUUAAAAGUAGCCUUGACAUACUACUUUUUAAUUUUUCACUUUGCCUUGUAGUUGAGUUUCGUUCCAAUCUUAUAUGCUUAGUCACUCUAAUUAUCAAUUUAUCAUCUCAUAUAACAUACUAAUCUGUCCCAAGCCUUGAUUCCAUCUACUAUUCAAUUUUUAGCCAAAACAGUCCACCUAAGACUUUUAUCGAGCAAGUUGUGUGCACAUUUUUCCGACACCCUUUUCAUAGCUAUUAGUUUGUAUUAUAAACCUAUUUUAUCCUCCUUAUGAGUCCACACAACCAUCCUAUCUCCUUUACUCUACUUCAGCCCCAUAAUAAUAGAAUACACAGCUAAAUCAGUUAUACACUUGGUUUAUAAAUUAACAAAUUCACCACUUUCCUUAUUCCUUUCAAAGUUUCUUUUAUUGUUGAUUCCCAUAUACCAAUUAUCAUAGAUAAACAUAUCCAAUGAUACUCUGUGUUACCCAAUCACUACAUACAAACUAAUAAAUUUACCAUUAACCACAACUAUGAACCAAUUUUGACAAAAUCUUGCAUUCCGUAAUAAAAAUAUAAUCAAGAUAAGCUAUAAUACCUUUCACUUGCUAGUUGCUUGUUUAUGAGAUCUUUCUAUCCUUAAAUUCAAAGUCUAGCUUCACCACACAAAUCAUGAAGCUUCACCUCUUCCUUGCUCUAACCGAAAUGAAACAUUGAAAUUUAUUUGAGAGAGGGGAUGGCGGGUGUAAACAGAAAAUAAAAGGAAGCUCUAGAAUGUGCUUUGGGUUCUAUAGAACCUCUGUUCCUGCUUAUCCUUGAAUGGACUGGACUGGACUGGACUGGACUGGGUUAGCAAGGGAGAUCAGUUGGCCUUGGGAUGGGGGUGCUCGGCAGUGUGGGAGAGGGAAGCAGAGGUGUGGCCAGAGAAGGGUCAUGGCUUUAUAGCUUUGACUUCCUUACUCUCUCCUUCUAUUCUUUGCCUGACCCUUACUUUCUAUUACUCCUACGAAUUG
rnacentral:lncRNA from 1 species